rnacentral:ncRNA from 1 species
GUUGCUGCAAUAGCAAUCCUGCUCCGUAUGAGAGGAACCGCGGGUUGGUGUAUGUGUUUGGUGUGAAGCUACCCUCUGAAGGGUUAUUACCGAACGCCUCUAAGUCAGAAUCCUGCCUAGAUGCAUUGAU